UACAGAGGGUGCGAGCGUUGUUCGGAAUUAUUGGGCGUAAAGCGCUUGUAGGCGGCCUAUCAAGUCGCGUGUGAAAUCCCCUGGCUUAACCAGGGAAGUGCGCGCGAAACUGAAGGGCUUGAGUGCCGGAGAGGGUCGCGGAAUUCCCGGUGUAGAGGUGAAAUUCGUAGAUAUCGGGAGGAACACCAGUGGCGAAGGCGGCGACCUGGACGGACACUGACGCUGAGACGCGAAAGCGUGGGGAGCAAACAGG
rnacentral:rRNA from 1 species